CGCGCCGGCCGCUUCCUAAAGGGUCCCCUUGGCUGGGAGGAGGGCCUCCGCUGCUCCGCCUCCUCCUACUGCCGCUACCGAGGGGCUGAGCUGCCUUCCUUACCCGGCUCCCUCCUCAACCCAGGAAACGAUACAGCCCGGAGCUUUGUACUCGCCUUGAUUUAAUCUGUGCUAUGCGUGGUUACUGGGAAAGGUAUCAUUCAAAGGCUGCAAAGCACUCUGUCUGCGGUGGAAACUUGCAAGUUUUAAGGUUUUUUCUUCCCGGUAGGUGGCAUGGAAUUCACAGAAGGAAAAAGAUACUCACCACCACAGAUCCAUUUAAAAAGUGUUUCCACAUAUGUGUGUGUGUGUAUAUAUAUAUAUAAACAAAUUAAAUUUAGGAGUUCUGUGAGCCAUCAGUAAUUGAAUUAGUUUGGUACAGUUGUUGGGGUCAAAAUUCUGUAAAACCAUAAAGGCUAGCAGUUUUCUUGCUCAAAAUAAAUCCUUUGUUUUCUUGGUGUUUGUUUCCAAUAUUAUUAUUUUUACCAUCAUUCGCAUAUGGUGUAGUUUAGGUGAUCAACUUUUUGAUGUAUGAUAUAGAUGGACAAAAUUCAGAGGAGGAGGAGUUUCAUUUUCUCUGAUUUACAGCAGUGCCUGCAUUGUUAAAGUAACUUUCCUUGUAGGAUCUCAAGUAAAGGUCAAAGGAGUUGGAUGUGUUUGACAGCUUGGAGAAAACACGAUGAAGAGGCAAUAUGAUAACCACAGUCAAAUGUUUGUAGGAUUCACACAUAGAUGACAGAGCAAAUUUGUUUCCUGUUGCUCCAGAGGGUCGGGCUACAACCAAUCGAGUUAGAAUUAAAAUAAAGGAGAUUUCAAGUAAGUGUUAAGAAGGAUUUCCUUUUGCCAUGGGAUGUUGGAUUAGAUGGGCCAUUGGCCUGAUUCAGGAGGGAACAAAGAGAUGGGCCACAUCAGGGGUAGGGAACCUCAGCACUUUUUCCCAGGCUACUAACUUGUCCUGCUUCACAACCUGGGGGCUUUAGCUGGAAUGUGUAGAUGGAGGACAGAGCAGGUGUGUGAGUUUGUGUAGAAGGUAGCUGGCUGUACGGAGGUAAAAUCCAUACACCUGUCCACUUUUGCCUCUGGCUCCACCUGCCACUGUCACCUGGCCCUUGGAAGGUUGCCCAGAAGGAAAUGCUCCCCCCCCCCGGCUGAGAAAAGGGCACUCCACCCUGGAGCUAAGCGAUCUUUGAGGUGCUCUUUAAUUUUGUGACUCUAGAAUUCUACUUUGAACCUAAGAAAUCAAUGAGGGUGUUAACAAUUAUUGGAAAUCACAGAGGGUGGGGGAGGAUGGUGCUCCUUGUUUAAGAACUUCCUCCGUAGGAAAGGCACAAGCACUCUGCAGUUUCCCUCACUUAGGGGUGAAUGGGUGGGUGUUUAAAAAACAUUUAUCAUAGCAGCUAUGCAUGUGAAACCAGAGAGAGUGAGAAGGGUGUCUUGCAAUAAGCCGCAUCAGAACUCCACCAUCCAUGUGCCUCUUUGCAGCAUCUCGGGGUCAAAGUGGGAUUUUUGGAAGUACAGUACUCUUUCUGCUUUCUCCAAGUCAGAAAUACUAAAGAGGGUCUGUUCCUGACAGAUCUUUGACUCGUUCCUGAGCCGAUACCAUUUCGUGCACUGACCAGUUUCCUUCCCUGUCCUGGAAAUGCCAAUCGAUACCAUGAGCAAGCAAAAAAACGACAACACACAAGAGCAGCAGUUUCAGAGAAGGAAAACAAAGCUCACUCCAGCCUUCUUAUCCUGAAGUGCGAUCCUUGAAGAGGGCCGUUUUUCUUCUUUGGAAACCUGCAUAAAGGGGAGCAUUUGCAAAGCACAUGAUUCUGUGUUUUGAAGCUCUGUUCCAGGCAUCUCUCUUGCUAGCUAGUUUGCUUUCCUUCCAGGUAUUUGGCAAUACGUCGCCUCCUCUUCCUCUGCGCUCCGUUCCCCUUAUGGUCGGGUGCUGCAGUGAAAUCAGAAAAAGAAGCCCUUAUUGGUGACAUCAGCCUCCACCAGAAGGUUUAAAGGGAUGUGCCAAAUUCAGCCUUGUGAGCUCACUGCAAGGAGAACCAAGUGGAUACACAUGAUGGGCUGGGAAGAAGCCAACCUUCCCUUUCAACAUAAACAGCUUCCCAAAGUGGAAAGAGGAAGAAGAUGACUGCCGAAAGAUAGGAAUGUAUGUUUGGGACUGGGAUAUUUACAGACCUGACCCCAGCUUUCUGCAGAUUCUCUUAAUUAAAUGUGGCUAAAUAUGAUGGACAUUUUUCAAGUAUAUCUGAAACCUGAUCUUGCCAUGUCUUGUUCCAUUUUAAAUCCCCUUAAUGCCAUGCUGGCCUACUCCUCUUCCACUGGGAGGAAAAAUACUGAGCAAACUUUCUGGGUACUUGCACAAUAUGGAUGUGGUUUCAUACCUCAGCUGCCAAAUCCUUAUGCAACACUGGGCACACUGCUGUAUCAUGCCACACCUAGCUGUACGUCUGUAAAAUGGGGAUAAUAAUAAUAAUAGGACUUCAUAUCUGAUGGGACCUGUAACGGUAAACUUGUUAAAAAUGAAAGGUGGCGCAUUAAGGCAUUGCUGCGUUAUACAAACAAAAUUGUACAUUAAUUCAAGAUUCUUCUGUUGACACACACAAGCCCCCAAACCUUGUAUCUGAAGGAUAUCUGAAGGAGCACUUCCUCAUGUGUAGACUUGCCCAGGUGUUACAUUCUGCAGGCAAGGUGCUGCUAGCCACUCUGUGAAAUUUGUGGGGUGGCAGCACAAGAGAGGGCCUUUUCUGUGCCCCCCUGGUGUGAAAUGCCUUCCCCUUGGUCUCAUCAACACACAUUUUUUAUAUACAUUGGUUAUAUCUUACAUCAUGGGUUGUUAACAUGGCACCUGGUGACUGUGGGGUCAUCUUGUUUCUUAACAAAGAUAAAGCUCCCAAUCUAAUUGCAGUGCUGGGUUGUGUUUAAAACUGGGGUGAGUUAACACACACACCACAUAAGACCCCUCUAUAGAAAGCUGCUUUCAAGUACAGUUACCACAGAGGAGAGAGAGAGUUUGGGAGGGAUUACCCCCUCCCCAGCGAUGACCACACUCUGCCUGCUGAAAACACCCUCAUUGCAAUUGGGCUUCAUUUCAAAGAAGACUCCUCUUGGCUCCAAUAUGGCCAGGCCCAAUGGCUGCAGGAGAGAGGUGACCUUCCUAAGAGGGGCCUCCUGGAUCAGGCCAACGACCCGUCUAGGCCAACAUCCUGUUUUCUCAGUGGUUAAUGUGGACCUCCAAUUCCUAGAGCUAACAGGUAGGAGGUGGGGAUUAACUCUUGCCUCCCCAGCUGCACUCUCCAAGAAGAUAGCCCCACCCCGCUACCGAGGCUUGUGGGGCAAAGAGAAAACAUUGCUUUUGAGGCUCAUCGCUGCUGGGAAUGGGGGUGAAUGUGUGAGAGGGAAGGCUGAUCUGCUGGGAGCCUGAGGGCCCCAUUCCUGCCUCUCUCCACCUGGCUUAGGGCGGGGCCUGACAGGCUUCAUAAAAAUUGCUGCUGCUGCUGCUGCCCAGCAAAGACGGGGGUAUUUGGGGGAAAGUUUUGUUGGAAGUUUUUGCUGUUGUUGAUAUUAAUUUUUUGUAUCUUUAUUUUUAUGUGGGGAUUGUUCAGUUUGGUUAUGUAGUUUUGAUGUGUUUUGUUUAUUUUUAUGACUACUUUGCUAUGUUUGUAACUAUGUAUGUAAAUCUUUUCAUAUUGUAAGCCACCUUGAGCUUACAAAUAAAAUGAUUAUGAUGAGUGA